rnacentral:rRNA from 1 species
UCAGGCCUAACACAUGCAAGUCGAGCGAGGUUUUCGGACCUAGCGGCGGACGGGUGAGUAACGCGUGGGAACGUGCCCCUUGGUACGGAAUAGCCCCGGGAAACUGGGAGUAAUACCGUAUGAGCUCUACGGAGGAAAGAUUUAUCGCCAAGGGAUCGGCCCGCGUUGGAUUAGGUAGUUGGUGGGGUAAUGGCCUACCAAGCCGACGAUCCAUAGCUGGUUUGAGAGGAUGAUCAGCCACACUGGGACUGAGACACGGCCCAGACUCCUACGGGAGGCAGCAGUGGGGAAUCUUAGACAGUGGGCGCAAGCCUGAUCUGGCCAUGCCGCGUGAGUGAAGGAGGCCUUAGGGUUGUAAAGCUCUUCAGCGAGGAAGAUAAUGA